UAGCCGGGCCUAGGGAGGGCGGAGGUGUGGCGGCCUUCUGGUGACCCUGGCGGUGGGCUCCUAGGUGCGGAGGGUCGGAGCUAGCGCCCUGCCCCUCCGAUGCCUUAGUUUCGGGUGGUGGCCUGUGAUGGGGGCCUGAGUCCCCUCUUACCAUGUCUGGCUGGCGGCGCCCCAGAUGCCAUGUGAUGGUCAUUUGAAGACAGGCCUGUCGGACAUCAGGCAUCCCAAGGUCCAUACACUUGCCUCCAGGGACCUGGGCUUUCGGCUGUCAUACCUGGCCCUGGUUGAUGGCCCCGUGCUGAGCAGUGCAUGUGAAGACACACAUGCUCGCUUUUCUCACUUAAGAGAUGUUGCUGAUGGAAACGUCUGGAGUUCAGUAGUGAUUCAUCUGACGUAUUCUUUUAAACAGUUGUGUGGUACUCCAUGUUCAUGUGAUGAAUGCUACGAAGGAUAAUUUUCGUGUCUUGCCUGAUGGUCUGUGUCCCUGGGCCGUCAGAUGUUCCUUCCAUGUGACAGACUCGUACUGAAGGUUUGAAAGGGUGACAGCUGGACCAGGGACUAGGGUGAGAGAGAGACACAGCGAGAGAGAGAACACAAGCAGGGGGAGUGGGAGAGGGAGAAGCAGGCUUCCCGCCGAGCAGGGAGCCCAAUGCGGGGCUCGAUCUCAGGACCCUGGGCUUGUGACCUGAGCCAAAGGCAGAUGCUUAACGACUGAGCCACCCAGGUGCCCCGAUGCAGUAUUUUAAAAAAUCAAAAUGAAUGCAAAGAAAAAUAUGUGAUGAACUAAGAUAUCAAAAUUUAAAAUAAAGCCAGGAUCACUUGUAAGACUUAAUAUUGGCCAUCUAUAUCCUUAACAUUUUUUGCAGUUAUUCCUUCCACUAGAAACUUCUCUCUGGUUGACCUGAUCCUUGGCACCCCCAUACCCAACCCACAGGUGAAUUGUGGGAAUUUCUUACUUGAUCUUAUUUCUAUUUAUUCACAGGCCCUCUUACCUCCUCUCCCCACUUCCGUCCUCUCCUCAGCAAUGGCGUACUUGAGGAAAGUCUGUAUUUUUCUUAUUGUGUAAAACAACUUAUUUCUCAUAGUCUCACUCUUCUUCAGACUCUGCUCUGUCUCCGGGCUUUCUGAAACCACAAUGGGUCUUCAAGGUGUUUUGUAAAUAAUAGGCCAUCUGCUACUUUAGCUACAUAAAGAAAUGACUUCCCAAGAUUGAAUUCUCAGGCAUCAUUGUCUUUUCCAUGAGUGUCUGUAAAUUGAAGAGAGCAAAGAUUGACUCUCUUAAGAUGCAUACACUGCCAUCCCCAUCCCCAAACAAUUGGCUACAAUCAGGGUGUGUGUGUGUGUGUGUGUGUUUGAUGAAAGUAAGAAAAUGAAUGUAUCUAAUUAGUUCUACAAGACUCUGAGAAGUAGAUAUUAUUACUACUGUUUCAUAAAUGAAGGUACUAAGGCUCAAAUUGGGGCAGGGAUGUCCUCAAAGUCACACAUGUAACAAGCAGGUGGAAUAGCUCCGGAACAGUCAUGGGCUUGAUUGAGAGUCUCAUCACCCAUUCUCUCUUUGGUACUUCAUUGUCACCUUCUGCCCUGAUCCCUGUAAUGAAUCCCUUCCCAAAGCUUACUUACAACCUCUUCAGUGUUGUAAAAGUCUCCAUUAGGGCUGCCUCUAGGGUGUGCGGGGUCUCAAGUGAAUACUUUUUUGCAGGUCCCCUAUCUGUAUAGAUGAUUUCAUUAAAAUGUAUUCCAGAAUUCAGGGGUCCAUGUUAGAUACGGUGGUUUAUAUGGAACAAUGGUUAGUGAGGCGGUACUUAGGUAUUUCUCGUGUAGCUGGUGCACAAGGGGUCCAGCACAAGCAGUUGCUCCAGCAGCGUUCUGAGAAGGAGAGCUUACGGGGUACAGUUUUUUGAGAUCUUGCAUAUUUGAAGAUGUCUUUAUUCAACUCACACUUGCUUGGUAAUUUGCCUAGGACUGGAAUCCAGGAUGGGAAAUGAACUUCCCUCAGAAUUUUGAAGGUAUUUUUGUUAGUGUAAGUAUAGGCUAAUUUCCAUAACAAAGAAAUUUCAAAAUACAGUGACUUAGACAUCCAAUUAAUAGUCCACAUAUUGGGCUCCAAACUGGGUGUGAAGCCUACUUAAAAAAAAAAAAAGUCCACAUAUUGUCUCUUCUAAUUUCCAGCUCCUUUUCACUACUCUAUUGGAGUAGUGAACUUCAUUUCCACUUUUUCUAUUAAAUUAAAAAUGUUUCUGCUAUUGAAUCUUUUCUGUUUUGUUCUUUGUUACUUUUAAAAAACACUUUGCUCCACCCAAAACAAUGAUACCUAGGAAUAAACCUAGCCAAAGAGGUGAAAGACCUGUGCUCUGAAAACUAUAAAACACUGAUGAAAGAAAGUAAAGAUGACCCAGAGAAAUGGAAAGAUAUUCCAUGUUCAUGGAUUGGAAGAACAAAUAGUGCUAAAAUGUCUAUACUACCCAAAGCAAUCUACAGAUUUAGUGCAACCCCUAUCAAAAUACCACCGGCAUUUUUUGCAGAGCUAGGAAACACAAUCCUAACAUUUGUAUGGAACCACAAAAGACCCCCAAAUAGCCAAAGCAACCUUGAAAAAGAAAAGCAAAGCUGGAGGCAUCACAGUUCCGGACGUCAAGAUAUACUACAAAGCUGUAGUCAUCAAAACGGUAUGGUGCUGGCACAAAAAUAGACACACAGAUCAAUGGAGCAGAAUAAAAAGCCCAGAAAUGGACCCACAACUCUAUGGUCAACUAAUCUCGGACAAAGUUGGAAAGAAUAUCCAAUGGGAAAGAGACAGUCUCUUCAACAAAUGAUGUUGGAAGAACAUGACAGAAACAUGCAGAAGAAUGAAACUGGACUACUUUCUUACACCAUACAUAAAAAUACCUUCAAGAUGGAUUAAAGACCUAAAUGUGAGACCUGAAACCAUAAAAAUCCUAGAAGAGAACACAGGCAGUAAUUUUUUUUAUAUUGGCUGUAGCAACUUCUUUCUAGACAUGUCUCUUGAGGCAAGGGAAGCAAAAGCAAAAAUAAACUAUUGGGAUUUUAUCAAAAUAAAAAGCUUCUCUACAGUGAAGGAAACAACAAAACCAAGUGGCAACCUAUGGAAUGGAGAAGAUAUUUACAAGUGAUCUAUCUGAUAAAGGGCUAAUAUCCAAAAAAUACAAAGAACUUAUAAAACUCAACACCAAAAAAAUGAAUAAUCCAAUUAAAAAAUAGGCAGAAGACAUGACUAGAUAUUUUCCCAAAGAAGACAUAGAGAUGGCCAACAGACACAUGAAAAGAUGCUCACCAUCACUCAUCAUCAAAGAAAUAAAAAUUAAAACUACAGUGAAAUAUCACCUCACACCUGUCAGAAUGGUGAAAAUCAACAACACAAGGAAUAACAGGUGUUAGCAAAGAUGUGGAGAAAAAGGAACCUUUGUGCACUGUUGGUGGGAAUGCAAACUGGUGCAGCGACUGUGGAAAACAGUAUGGAGGGGCCUCAAAAAGUUAAAAAUAGAACUACCUUAGGAUCCAGCAACUGCACUACUGGGUGUUUACCCAAAGAAUACAAAAAUACUAAUUCCAAGGGAUACGUGCACCCAGAUGUUUAUAGCAGUAUUAUCUACAAAAUAGCCAAAUUAUGGAAACGGCCCAAGUGUCUAUCGAUUGAUGAAUGGGCAAAGAAGACAUGGUAUAUAGAUACAAUAGAAUAUUACUCAGCCAUAAAAAGAGUGAAAUCUUGCGAUGACACAGAUGGGACUAGAGAGUAUUAUGCUAAGUCAGUCUGUCAGAGAACGACAAAUACCACAUGAUUUCACUCAGUGGAAUUUAAGAAACAAAACAAAUGAGCAAAGGGAAAAAAGAGAGAGAGACAAACCAAGAAACAGGCUCAUAACUGUAGAGAACAAACUGAUGGUUACCGGGGGGAGGUAGGUGGGGGGGAUGGGUGAAAUAGGUGAUGGGAAAUAAGGAGUGCACUUGUGAUGAACGCCGGGUGGUGUAUGGAAGAGUUGAAUCAUUAUAUUGUACACCUGAAACUAAUAUUAUAUACUGUAUGUUGACUGAGUGGAAUUUAAAUAAAAACUUAAAAAAAACCCCCACCCCUCUCUUGUUUCAAGGAUGCUAAAUCUUCUCUAGUAUUUCUGAACAGGGUAAUUAUAGUUGAAAAAAACUUCUAUUCCUGCACUAUUCCUGUUUUUUGAGUCCCUUUCUCUUUUUAAAUGUCUGGUGAUCCUUGGCUUUCUCUUCAUAUUUAAGCCUGAGGCACUAACAAAGCCCAUUGUGGGGCUGUCCAAGGAAUGAGCAGAGACCUGGCCAUUGGUGUGGGAUCUUAGUAUCAUUAUCUUUAGGCAUUUCCUAGUGGGAUGCUUGGAUUCUCCAGAGAGCAACAUUCCAGUUUCCUCUUUGGGGUGUGUAAGCCUGGCCAUCAGCAUUCUUGGCAGGAUUUGGAGAAAGGGGACGAGGCACUCACCAUUUGGCAUGUUGGCUUUCAUUUAGAUUUUCUGUUUUCAGUAGGGCACACCCACCUGAUGUCCUGAGUCCAGGGCCCAUUGCCUUAUAAGAGGAUAAACUUUUAGUCUUCUCUUGAGGAGAAGGAGAGAGAAUUGCCUGAGUGGGCCGAUAAAGGACUGUGGGGGCCAUUUGCUUGCUUCUCAUUCGGAUUUUCAAGCAGUUCUGUGCUCAGUCGCACCUACACCCGUAACUGCAAGGUUCAUUGGUAUCCCAGUUCCUGAGCCUUUGUGGGGGAUCUGAGCUGAUUGGCCCACCCAUACCCUGUAGACAUUUGACUUUUUAACUUUCUCUAGUCUGCUAAACUAAUUACCACUUGUCCACGUGCUUUCAGCUUCCAAACUAUAGAUGUCAUUUCUUAUCUACUCUUGCAUCAUCUUUUUUGGGAGAGGUAAUCAAGAGAAUGUGAUCACAGUUCACCCAAGAGCUGGACUAAGGCAAUCGGAGACUCCUUGUCACCUCCCCUACACCUGGAAUGUAUGUUCUCCCCACCAUUCCCAUGGGGGAGCCAUUUUCAAGGACACAGAGAACAAUGUGUUGUUGAGACCAUCUGGAUGGUAUAUGGGACUGAACCCACUUAUGGCUUCUUUACAAACUUAAGAUUUGUCAGGCAGGUGUGGAGAUCUGCUCAUCUUACAGCCACCCGAGACAAGCCUCGUAAAGUAAUACUCCAUUGUAUAGAAAUAAUACAAUUUGUUUACCUGAUUACCUGUUGAUGCACAUUUGGAUUGUUUCCAGUUUUUGGCUUUGAACAUGAUUUACUGCUUCUAUUAACAUACAUCGUCAAGUCUUUGUGUGGGCAUAUGUUUUCAUUUCUCCGGAUAAACACCUCGGGGUGGAAUUGAGCUGAGUCAUAUGGUAAUUGUAUGUCUAACUUUACAAGAAACUGUCAAACUCUUUUCCAAAGCAGUUGUGCCAUUUUCCUUUCCCACCAGCAGUGCUCCAGUUGCUGUCCAUCCUCACCAACAUUUGGUAUUGACAGGCUUUUAAGUUUUAGUCACUCUGGUUUUAAUUUGCAUUUCCCUGGUGACUGACGAUGUUGAACAUCUUUUCAUGUGCUCAUUUGCCAUUCAUAGAUCUUCUUUGGUAAUGUGUCUAUUACAUAUUUGGCCCAUUUUGUUUUAUUGAGCUGUUUGUCUUGUUAUUAUGGCGUUGUAAAAGUUCUUUAUAUUUUCUGGAGACAAUUCUUUUAUUAGAUAUGUGUUCUAUGAAUAUUUUCUCCCACUCUGUGGCUUGGCUUUUCAUUGUCUUAACAGUGUCUUUUGAAGGGAGCAAGUUUUUAAUUUUGAUGAGGUCUGGUCUAUUAGUUUUUUUUCUUAUAGUUGAUAUUUUUUUGUCCUAUGAAAACUUCACCCAAAUCAAAGUUAAAAAAAUUUUCUCUUAUAUUUUUUUUGUGUCAAAGUGUUAUGGUUUCAACUCUUACAUGGAGGUUUGUUAUUUAUUUUGAAUUAUCUUUGCAUGUGGUAUGAGUUAGGGUUGAGAUCCACUCUUUUGCAUGUGAAUAUCCAGUUGUUCCAGCGCCUUUUGUUGAGAAGACUAAUCUACAUUACCUUGGAGACUGUUGAUGAUCAAUUGACUAUAUAUGUGUAGGUCUAUUUCUGGACUCUCUUCCAUUGAUUUAUAUGUCUAUCCUUGUGCCAAUAUCACAUUGCUAAUAAUAUAUAUUACCAUUUCAUACACUAACUUACGUAAUAAUGGAGUAGAUUAGCUUUAUGGUCAGUUCUACAGUAAGUCUUUUUUUUUUUUUUUUUUUUUUUUUAAAGGUUUUAUUUAUUUAUUUGAGAGAGAGAGAAUGAGAGAGAACACAUGAGAGGGGGGAGGGUCAGAGGGAGAAGCAGACACCCUGCCGAGCAGGGAGCCCGAUGCGGGACUCGAUCCCGGGACUCCAGGAUCAUGACCUGAGCCGAAGGCAGUCGCUUAACCAACUGAGCCACCCAGGCGCCCUCUACAUUGGAGUCGGGGAGGAGCAGAGAGAGAGAGACUCUCAAGCAGACUUUGCACCAAGUAGAGCCCAACACGGGGCUCGAUCCCACAACCCUGAGAUCAUGACCUGAGCUGAAAUGAAGAGUCGGAUGCUUAACCGACUGAGCCACCCAGGUGCCCCUCUCUGAUUGCAUUUUUGGGGGACAAUCAAGAACUAUUAUCUUGAGAUCUGAAUGUAAAUGCCAAAUAGGCAGUUGGAGAUACAAGGCUGCAGUCCUGGGAGAGUUUCAGGUUGGAGAGAAACAGAUGCUACCUAAUGAUAUAUGGGAUAAAAGUAUUUAAUGAUAUUAGAGAUUAUCCACUACAUAUUUCUUACAGUGUAACUGGCCAUUACAGAAUCCUUUAGAAUAAAGGAACAUGUGGGUGUUCUCCACUGACAGGCCCACCAGCUUGUGAGCUUUGGCCUUCUGGUGGCAGAGGAUAGUUACGUAAGGCAGGGUGGGCUGUGCUUGCCUCCACACCAGGGGCCCACAUCAAUCAGCAGACGAAAACGUAAUGAAGAGGGGCGCCUGGCUGGCUCAGUCAGUAGAGAUGCAACUCUUGAUCUUGGGGUUGUGAGUUUGAGCCCCACGUUGGGUGUAGAGAUUACUUUAAAAAACUAAAAAAACAUAAUAAAGGGAUGUAUAGCUUCCUAGGUUUUGAAACAGUUACAUCACAAAGAGCAGUCUGGAGAACACUGUAAUAAUGAGCAGUCUUGGGAUAGUAAAAAAAAAAAAAAGGUGCAGACUGUAUGCAGACCACCUGCAUUUGCUCUACCAUUACUACAUUACAUUACUUUAGGAAGGUUAUUUCAUCUCUUUGUGCUUCCAUUUCUUCCUUUGUAAAAUUGGGAAAAUAAUAGUAUCUACACUAUGAUUUUUUUUUAAAGAUUUUAUUUAUUUAUUUGAGAGAGAAUGAGAGACAGAGAGCAUGAGAGGGGGGAGGGUCAGAGGGAGAAGCAGACCCCCCGCUGAGCAGGGAGACCGAUGCGGGACUCGAUCCCGGGACUCCAGGAUCACGACCUGAGCCGAAGGCAGUCGCUUAACCGACUGAGCCACCCAGGCGCCCUACACUAUGAUUUUUUUUGAUGAUUAAAGGUCAGUGUAUGUGAAAUGGUUGGACUAGUGACUAGUAAGCACUGGAUUGGCGUGUGAUUAUGCUAUUACUGUUACGACUCAUUGUCUCCUGGGGGAGGCAGCCCUGUAGUCACAACAGAAAUAAAACACAGAGGAGUCCGAUUGAGGUCUCGAAGCACAGAGAUGGGAGGGGGAGGGUCAGGGGGAGUCUUCAGAGGGAGGUUUGUGUUUGGACUGACUCUUGAAGGAUGAACGUAGCUCACCAGAUGUGUAAGGAGAAAGAAGCGUCCUUGGCGGAGGAAAGGCAAAGUACAGAGGUGGAGAAAUUUGAAACGUCACGUGCUUGUGGUAAACAGUAAGUGGCCUGUGGGGCUGGAGUGUAGAGCAUUCAUAGUAGGAGUCAGUGGGGGGGGGCCCCCCGUUGGAAAGGUAGGCGGGGCCACAUUACUGUGAGCUCAUACGCAGAGUGAAAACCGUUAAGUGAAAAGGCAAAACUUGUGUUGAACCUGAGCACUGAACUUUGGAGGAGAUGGUACCAGUGAAGACAGUGAGUUUUACCUUUUUCUUUUAUCUGAGCAUGACUUUAUUUAUUUAUUUUUUAAGAUUUUAUUUAUUUAUUUUGAGAGAGAGGUGAUGGGAAGGGCAGAGAGAGAAUCUCAAGCAGACUCUAUGCUGAGUGUGGAGCUCGAUGCCGGGCUCAAUGUCAUGACCUUGAUACCAUGACUUGAGCUGAAAUCAAGAGUCAGAUGCUUUAUCGACUGAGCCACCCAGGUGCUCCUGAGCAUGACUUUAUUUACUUAUUUUUUAAUUUUAAAAAGAUUUUAUUUAUUUAUUCAUUUGAGACAGAGAAAGAAAGCAUGAGCAGGGGGAGGGGCAGAAUGAGAGGGAGAAGCAGACUCCCCGCUGACACAGGGCUCGAUCCCAGGACCCCGGGGUCAUGACCCGAGCCGAAGGCAAACCGAGCAUGACUUUAGACAGGGGUUCACCAACAAGCAGUGGCAGAACUGUGUACCAGAGGAGUUAGGGGGUGACAGGAGAGCCAAGAAGUAGAACUGUCACAGAGCCAUGUGUGGUGGCAAUUUAGGGCACAGGCAGUGACAGGAGUGACAAUUCGAGUGGGCUGUUCAUCCAUUCAGCUAAUGUUGGCUAAGUGUUCAUUGUGUACCACAUACCCCAGUAAGUAGAUAUUGGGGGCACAGAGUGAACACAGAGACAAAACCCCCUCUUCAUCCUUCAUUCUGUCAUCCACUAUGUAUUUACUAUAUAUAUAUAUAUAUAUAUAUAUAUAUAUAUAUAUACUUUAAAGAUUUUAUUUAUUUAUUUGACAGAGAGAGACACAGCGAGAGAGGGAACACAAACAGGGGGAGUGGGAGAGGGAGAAGCAGGCUUCCCGCCGAGCAGGGAGCCCGAUGCGGGGCUCGAUCCCAGGACCCUGGAAUCACGACCUGAGCCAAAGGCAGAUGCUUAACGACUGAGCCACCCAGGCGCCCCUGUAUUUACUAUAUUAUAUGUAUUUUUUCUGGAGUAUUUUAAGGCACAUCCCAGACAUCAUAUCAGUUCACCUUUAAAUAUUUUAGGAUGUCUCUCUCACUGAUAAGGACUUUAGAAAACAUAACCGCCAUAUUAUUAUCGGCAUCUCAUUUAUCACACCAUACUUAAUAGCAUCGUACUCUUUACUAGUCAGUACACAUUCGCAUCUUCCCCAGUGUUUUAUUUUUUUAAAUUUAAAUUCAAUUAGCCAACAUAUAGUACAUCAUUCGUUUCAGAUAUAGUGUCCCCAGUGUUUUAUUUAUUUAUUUAUUUAUUUUUUUAAUUUUUAAAGAUUUAUUUAUUUAUUUGAGAGAGAAUGAGAGACAGAGAGCAGGAGAGGGAGGAGGGUCAGAGGGAGAAGCAGACUCCCUGCCGAGCAGGGAGCCCGAUGCAGGACUCGAUCCCGGGACUCCAGGAUCAUGACCUGAGCCGAAGGCAGUCACUUAACCGACUGAGCCACCCAGGCGCCCGUGUCCCCAGUGUUUUAAAAAUGUCUUCUUAAAAGUCAGUUUCUUUGUUCUCUAUUCUGUUCCAUUGGUCUAUGUGUCUGUUUUUGUGCCAAUACCAUGCUGUCUUGAUGACCACAGCUUUGUAAUAGAGCUGGAAGUCAGGCAUUGUGAUGCCCCCAGCUUUAGUUUUCUUUUUCAACAUUGCUCUGGCUACUCAGGGUCUUUUCUGGUUCCGUACAAAUUUUAAGAUUAUUUGUUCCGGCUCUGGGAAAAAUGUUGAUUGUAUUUUGAUAGGAAUUGCAUUGAAUGUGUAGAUUGCUCUGGGUAGCACAGAUAAAUAAAUAAACAAUAUUUAUUCUUCCAAUCCAUGAGCAUGGAACGUUUUUCCAUUUCUUUGUGUCUUCCUCGGUUUCUUUCAUGAGUAUUCUUUAGUUUUCUGAGUAUAGAUCCUUUGCCUCUUGGGUUAGAUUUAUUCCUAGGUAUCUUGUGGUUUUGGGUGCAAUUGUAAAUGGACCAUUUUCUUACACCAUACACAAAAAUAAAUUGAAAAUGGAUAAAAGACCUCAGUGUGAGAAAGGAAUCCAUUAAAGCCAUAGAGGAGAACACAGGCAGCCACCUCUUCGACCUUGGAACAGCAACUUCUUGCAAGACACAUCUCCAAAGGCAAGGGAAACAAAGGCAGAAAUGAACUAUUGGGACUUCAUGGAGACAAUAUCUUCUACACAGCAAAGUAAACAGUCAACAAAACUAAAAGGCAACCUACGGAAUGGGAGAAGAUAUUUGCAAAUGACAUAUCAGAUAAAGGGCUGGUAUCCAAAAUAUAUAAAGAACUUAUCAAACUCAACACCCCCAAAACAAAUAAUCUAGUCAAGAAAUGGGCAGAAGAGGGGCACCUGGGUGGCUCAGUCGUUAAGCGUCUGCCUUCGGCUCAGGUCAUGGUCCCAGGGUCCUGGGAUCGAGCCCCACAUCGGGCUCCCUGCUCUGUGGGAAGCCUGCUUCUCCCUCUCCCACUCCCCCUCUUGUGUUCCUGCUCUCGCUGUCUCUCUCUCUGUCAAAUAAAUAAAUAAAAUCUUAAAAAAAAAAAAAAAAAAAAGAAAUGG